rnacentral:RNase_P_RNA from 1 species
GGAGGAAAGUCCGGGCUCCACGGCGACAAGGCGGCGGGUAACGCCCGCCGGGGGUGACCCCAGGGACAGCGCCACAGAAAGCAAACCGCCCUCUUCAAGCCUCGGCGAAGGAGGGCAAGGGUGAAAGGGUGGGGUAAGAGCCCACCGCGGACCGGGCAACCGGGACGGCAUGGCAAGCCCCGCCUGGAGCAAGACCAAAUAGGGACGCCGCGCCGGCUGAAGCCGGCCGGCAGGGCCGUCGCCGGCUCGAGGCGUCCGGGUUGGUCGCGAGAACCGUCCGGCAACGGACGGUCCAGAGGAAUGACCGUCCCGCCGCCCUGCCCCCCAGGACGGCGGCACAGAACCCGGCUUACAGGCCGUCUGAUCCG